CUAGCUGUAAACGAUGGAUACUAGGCGUUGAGAGUAUCGACCCUCUCAGUGUCGUAGCUAACGCGUUAAGUAUCCCGCCUGGGGAGUACGCGCGCAAGCGUGAAACUCAAAGGAAUUGGCGGGGGCCCGCACAAGCGGUGGAGUAUGUGGUUUAAUUCGAUGCAACGCGAAGAACCUUACCAGGGCUUGACAUGUCCGGAACCCUGCCCAAAGGCGGGGGUGCCUACGGGAACCGGAACACAGGUGGUGC
rnacentral:rRNA from 1 species